CGUCUACAGGAGACGGAGAGGGAGAGGGAGAGGGAGAGGGAGAAAAGGGUGGACAAUCGUCAACCAUCGCGAUCCACCGGCCUCCAUCCUCCGUUGCGCGAUCGAGUGGUUGGUCAAGGCGAGCGAUGCAGCAUCCACCUUCGAUCUUGGCCGUUCUUCCCACCUCGACCCCAAAACUGAUCGGUGCCAGCAUUGGCCGGCGGCGGCUCAAAACAACCAACCAACUUCCACGGCAGGCUGUUUUCCAGCAAUUUGAAGUGGUGGAUAUGGAAGUUCUGACAAACUGAAGAUGCAGCAGAACAUAAGCAGGUUCACAAGUUAGAAAAGCUUCAUAGAUCAACCUGCUGGCAAGGUUGAAAGCCCUUUCCACUUUGUCCUCCCAUCCGUUGUCUGUUCUCCCCUUAUCUUGUAAAAGCCUCUUGAUCAUUUUCAUCCAGCACUUCCAAAGGGGUAUGGUGCAUCGUCUGGAAGGUCAAACUGUUACAAGAUCAAAACUAGUUGAAACAGCCACACUUCUUAUUUCUGGGCAUGUUCUAUUCCUUUGUGUUUUCAUCUAUUGCCCAUUUUUGCAUAAAUCAAGUUCACAGACAACAUUGACUUUAUAGUUCCAUUUUCGUUUGUCCGAACAUAUAUAUUUUUUUUUCUAAUAUGGUUCAUACUUCAUGGACAAUAAAUUGUCUGAAGAUAGUAGAAAAUAUGUUGCUGAGAACACCUGCACCAGUAGGAAUAUGCUAUCAAAAGCUAUUUUACGUUA